GUGCCAGCAGCCGCGGUAAUACCGGCAGCCCGAGUGAUGGCCGAUCUUAUUGGGCCUAAAGCGUCCGUAGCUGGCUGCGCAAGUCCGUCGGGAAAUCCACUCGCCCAACGAGUGGGCGUCCGACGGAAACUGCACAGCUUGGGACCGGAAGGCUCGCAGGGUACGUUCGGGGUAGGAGUGAAAUCCCAUAAUCCCGCACGGACCACCGAUGGCGAAAGCACUCUGAGAAGACGGCUUCGACAGUGAGGGGCGAAAGCCAGGGUCUCCAACCGGAUUAGAAACCCCAGUAUCC
rnacentral:rRNA from 1 species